rnacentral:rRNA from 1 species
ACACGGAGGGCGCAAGCGUUGCUCGGAAUCACUGGGCGUAAAGCGGGUGUAGGCGGUCUAGCAAGUCAGAUGUGAAAGCCCACGGCUCAACCGUGGAAGUGCAUCUGAAACUGCUAGACUCGAGUGCCGGAGAGGGAAGUGGAAUUCCUGGUGUAGGGGUGAAAUCCGUAGAUAUCAGGAGGAACACCGGUGGCGAAGGCGACUUCCUGGACGGCCACUGACGCUGAGACCCGAAAGCGUGGGGAGCAAACAGGAUUAGAAACCCUUGUAGUCC